rnacentral:lncRNA from 1 species
UGCCAUAGAGCCCGACGGGAGAGGUCCAGCGUGUGGCAGCCAGAGGGACAGGCCCAGCCCGAGGGAGAGGCCUGGCAACUCGUGCCAGCCUGAGAGCCCGAGUGGGUGUGACGUCAGGGCGACGUCACCCGCUUUUUUUAGGCGGACGGUAUGGAUCCUCUGUAUUUCUGGGAAGUUGCAGAAGACGAAGAAGAAGAUGAAGAUUUAGAAGAAGUAGUGGGAGUCAUCCACGACAUCGGAGCCCGAUCCUGUGCAUCAGUGGGAACAUAGAUGGGUUUUACUUUAUUUUUCUUCAACUUUUGUUUAUGACCAUUGGUGAAAAAUGGAGUUCAGAUAUUAUAAUCAGAGCUAGCUUUUGGAGGAGACUGAGUUUUUUACCUGCAGAUGGAUGAGUUUUGGACUAUUGGCCCUGGAUCUGUGAAGCUUGGGUGUUGGUGCAUUUCUUUUGUUGUGGAACCGAGAGUCAUCGCAGAGAAGAAGAAGGAAAUCUGUAG